rnacentral:rRNA from 1 species
UCGCCUGUUUAUCAAAAACAUAGUUUAGUGAAAAAUUAUACUAAAUGAAUUCUGCCCAGUGUUUUAAUAAAUGGCCGCAGUACCCUGACUGUGCUAAGGUAGCAUAAUCAAUUGGCUUUUAAUUGAAGUCUGGAAUGAAUGAAAUAAUGGAGGAAUGCUGUCUUAAAAGUAUUAAUUUAAAUUUAUUUAAAAGGUGAAAAUACCUUUUUUUAAAAAAAAGACGAGAAGACCCUAAGAAUUUUUAGAUUAAUUUUCAAAAUUAAUCUUUUUGUUGGGGCGACAGAUUAGAAAAACUAAACCUAAUUUUUUAAAUUGGCGAAUUUUUUAAGUAAUAAAAAAUUACCUUAGGGAUAACAGCAUAAUGUAAAAUUUUUUAUGUUUGUGACCUCGAUGUUGGACUAGGAACUUUAUGGCUAGCAGUCAGAAAAGAUUUAUUCUGUUCGAAUAAUUUAAUCCU